UACGGGGGGUGCGAGCGUUGUCCGGAAUCACUGGGCGUAAAGGGCGCGUAGGUGGUUUGAUAAGGGUGUGGUGAAAGUCCGGAGCUCAACUCCGGAUCUGCCGUGCCGACUGUCAAACUCGAGGGCUGUAGAGGCAGACGGAAUUCCGGGUGUAGCGGUGGAAUGCGUAGAGAUCCGGAGGAACACCGGUGGCGAAAGCGGUCUGCUGGACGAUCCCUGACGCUGAGGGACGAAAGCGUGGGGAGCAAACAGG
rnacentral:rRNA from 1 species